rnacentral:rRNA from 1 species
GACGAACGCUGGCGGCGUGCUUAACACAUGCGAGUCGAACGGAAAGGCCCUGCUUUUGUGGGGUGCUCGAGUGACGAACGGGUGAGUAACACGUGAGUAACCUGCCCUUGACUUUGGGAUAACUUCAGGAAACUGGGGCUAAUACCGGAUAGGAGCUCCUGCUGCAUGGUGGGGGUUGGAAAGUUUCGGCGGUUGGGGAUGGACUCGCGGCUUAUCAGCUUGUUGGUGGGGUAGUGGCUUACCAAGGCUUUGACGGGUAGCAGGCCUGAGAGGGUGACCGGCCACAUUGGGACUGAGAUACGGCCCAGACUCCUACGGGAGGCAGCAGUGGGGAAUAUUGCACAAUGGGCGGAAGCCUGAUGCAGCAACGCCGCGUGCGGGAUGACGGCCUUCGGGUUGUAAACCGCUUUCGCCUGUGACGAAGCGUGAGUGACGGUAAUGGGUAAAGAAGCACCGGCUAACUACGUG